ACGAAUGAAUGAGAAGAAUGCUGUAAUAUAAUUCUGUGUGAGGAUAGAACAGUAGGAAUGAGGACAGGUUGUGUGUGUUUAGACAGAAAGUCCAGAAGAGGGAGCGCGCAGCCCUCCUGUGACAGAGUAUAAAGUUGAAGAAGGGUGCCUGUGACUUCUUCUGGCUGGCCAAAAGUGAUCCUCUAUCACAGUUUAAUACAUUUACAGUGAUCCCUAUCAUAGUUUAACUACUAUUAGGCAGAAGGAACGAAAUUAAGGAACAUCAAAGUAAAAUAAGUUAUAAGCAAAGAUAAAAACACAGUGAUAUUUGAGGUGCUGUACUAGAAUAAGACAUUAAGGCUUUUGUAGUAUUCAGUAAUACAGUUGUAGACAUUAUAGAGUAGGUUUUAAAAGGAGGUAUUAAGUGAUGUGACUAAUAAAUUAUUAUUUGGGAAAGUAGGGUAGCUCUACCUUGGGAAAUAGUAAAUAAAGUGUAGAAUGCGAUGGGAGUGUUUAGGAAAAAUAAAUAGUGGCAUGGAAACAAAUGGACUGUUUCUCCCUGGAAUAUAGAGAUAGCAAAAUUUAAUAAAGCCAUAGAGUCACUGAAAGAAACACACAUUAAUUCUACCAAUUCGGCUUGAAUAUGAAAGAGCAAACCGUAUAAUGUAGGGCAACAUUACCCGGUAAACAGGAUAAAUAAAAUAAUGAAUUGGAACGAUCACAUAAAACCAUAACAAGACGCUUAACUUACCAGCGUUUUAAUGAUAAUUAACAUUAUAUCAUCAGAAAUACAUUACGAUGGGGGACAGAUAUGAUUCUGCUUGCCAUCGCAGACGUGCGAAUGGUUUGCAAAGCUAUAGAAAAUAUCUAAGCGUAAGAAGUUGUAGAUGUGGAGCUAACAAGUAUGGGGGAAAAUGAGUGUAAGAUGACACUGGAACUUAGUGCGGUAGCAGAGAAUGCCUCUAUACAGGAGUUUGUACCCUUUUCAAAAGAGCAACAACUAAUCGUUUUAAGGAAAAACAGCACAUAAGAGGCCAGAUGGAAGGGCAUGGGCUGAAUUCUGGAGACUGAGGGUACAUGAAGAUACACCGGGCUGGGGAUAUACUUCAUACAGCACCUGCAGUGGUAAAGAUCGUCAUGUCUCUCUUUGGUGGGUGCAUAAGUUUCACAAGAAGUAAGGUCCAGCUGAAUAAUGGGUGAGCUUGAAAACACCAUGACAGAGGACGUGAAACAAAAGAGAGAGAAAGAGAGAGACUAGAUUCCACUGUAGACAUACUGGGUUGAGUUUGGGGGUUACUUGUUUUAUUUGUUAAUGUAUCAUGUGAAAAAGGAUAGAUGUUAGGGUAGUUGUACUCUAAACAACAUGUUGAAGGCUCGAUGUGAAAGCCCAUACAGUGUUGAAUUACUUCAAGAAGAAAUAAUGUUGACUAAGGUUAUGCAUAUCAGUUGAAAUAGAGCAGAUGGGGAACUAAGUAAAAAAAUGACAUGAUUUGGGAACACCUCUCAGAACCUGCGGCCGAAAGGGGAAGACUGGAUGAAAGCACGAGGAAGCCAAUUAGGGCCUCCAUUUUUGUGGAGUAUCCUGGAGGCAUAGAGUCAGGUGAAGAGAGAGUGGGAAUUGUCAUGGUCUCAGAUUUCAGUAUUCAUGAAUACAGUCAUGCAUAACACAUAACAUUGUCAAUACUGUUAUGUUUUGUCCUUUGUUUUCCAAGUCUUAUGUUUAGGAAACCAGAUGGAGAAGGGUUCGCCAGCUUCAGCUGGAAUGUCAGUUUGUGUGAUGAGUGAUGGAAGUAAGAUAAUGUAUGGUGUAAUCAUAGAACAGAGGCCAUAAGUCUCUAAGUAUGAAUGCCCCACAGAAAGAAGGCAGAAACCUGAACCAGGACGAGAGGUUCCACAUCUGAUGAUCCUAGGGGACCAGAAGGACCUCUCCCAGUGAUACCAGGAGAUCUAGUCUACGUUCGAGUGUUCCGAAGGAAGUGGGAUCAGCCGAGGAGAGAAGGACCCUACGAGGUGGCAAUAGCCACAAACACGGCCGUCUAAGUGAAAGGAAGCAAGACGUGGUAUCAUCUAAACCACUGCACCCGAGUCCCGACGGAGAGAAGGACACAACCAUACAGAGAUGAGGACACAGAGGAUGCUGAUUCACCAGGCGGGACCCCGGAGGGAGCAGGAGCAGCGGAAACGAUCAAAGCGCCGGGGAGGAAUCAAGAAAAUGGCAGACUAGAUACAACGAGUGCAUCAACUAAACGCACUCAGAAGAAGCACCAGGGGAAAAGAG